rnacentral:rRNA from 1 species
AUUGAACGCUGGCGGAAUGCUUUACACAUGCAAGUCGAACGGCAGCACGGACUUCGGUCUGGUGGCGAGUGGCGAACGGGUGAGUAACAUAUCGGAACGUAUCCAAUAAUGGGGGAUAACGAGUCGAAAGAUUCGCUAAUACCGCAUACGCCCUACGGGGGAAAGCUGGGGACCUUCGGGCCUGGCGUUAAUGGAGCGGCCGAUAUCUGAUUAGCUAGUUGGUGAGGUAAAGGCUCACCAAGGCGACGAUCAGUAGCUGGUCUGAGAGGACGACCAGCCACACUGGAACUGAGACACGGUACAGACUCCUACGGGAGGCAGCAGUGGGGAAUUUUGGACAAUGGGCGCAAGCCUGAUCCAGCCAUUCCGCGUGAGUGAAGAAGGCCUUCGGGUUGUAAACUGCUUUUGUACAGAACGAAAAGGUUUCUACUAAUACUAGGAGCUCAUGACGGUACUGUAAGAAUAAGCACCGGCUAACUACGUGCCAGCCGCCGCAGUAA